rnacentral:rRNA from 1 species
UACGUAGGGUGCAAGCGUUAAUCGGAAUUACUGGGCGUAAAGCGUGCGCAGGCGGUCCGUUAAGACAGAUGUGAAAUCCCCGGGCUUAACCUGGGAACUGCAUUUGUGACUGGCGGACUCGAGUAUGGCAGAGGGGGGUAGAAUUCCACGUGUAGCAGUGAAAUGCGUAGAGAUCGGGAGGAACACCAGUGGCGAAGGCGGCCUUCUGGACCAAUACUGACGCUCAUGCACGAAAGCGUGGGGAGCAAACAGG